UUAAAUUGAAGAGUUUGAUCAUGGCUCAGAUUGAACGCUGGCGGCAGGCCUAACACAUGCAAGUCGAACGGUAACAGGAAACAGCUUGCUGUUUCGCUGACGAGUGGCGGACGGGUGAGUAAUGUCUGGGAAACUGCCUGAUGGAGGGGGAUAACUACUGGAAACGGUAGCUAAUACCGCAUAACGUCGCAAGACCAAAGAGGGGGACCCUCGGGCCUCUUGCCAUCGGAUGUGCCCAGAUGGGAUUAGCUUGUUGGUGGGGUAACGGCUCACCAAGGCGACGAUCCCUAGCUGGUCUGAGAGGAUGACCAGCCACACUGGAACUGAGACACGGUCCAGACUCCUACGGGAGGCAGCAGUGGGGAAUAUUGCACAAUGGGCGCAAGCCUGAUGCAGCCAUGC
rnacentral:rRNA from 1 species